rnacentral:lncRNA from 1 species
AAAUACUUAGGAAAUGUGUCAUCUUUCAAAAACUAGACUGCCAACUCAUGUCUUCCUUUUCUUUUAUAGGAAUGACAUGAGGAAGACUUUCUGUAGAGCGUACCAAAAGACUUGAGGCCCAAGAUCAUUCAACUAGGGCUGAGUUUACCAAACUCUUCUGAGCCAUCUAGGGUCUAACUGUAGCUAUAAGAAAAAACCAAGCCAACCCUUGCCAACAUCCUCUUGCCCCUGACUACUGACCAGUCGAAAGGUCUAUCCCCUACAACAUAGUAGAAUUUAGAAAACUUAACCCACCCCACUUUGAUGGAG